rnacentral:rRNA from 1 species
GGUGCUUGCACCGAGCGGAUGAGUUGCGAACGGGUGAGUAACGCGUAGGUAACCUGCCUGGUAGCGGGGGAUAACUAUUGGAAACGAUAGCUAAUACCGCAUAACAGUAGAUAUUGCAUGAUAUCUGCUUGAAAGGGGCAAUUGCUCCACUACCAGAUGGACCUGCGUUGUAUUAGCUAGUUGGUGAGGUAACGGCUCACCAAGGCGACGAUACAUAGCCGACCUGAGAGGGUGAUCGGCCACACUGGGACUGAGACACGGCCCAGGCUCCUACGGGAGGCAGCAGUAGGGAAUCUUCGGCAAUGGGGGGAACCUUGACCGAGCAACGCCGCGUGAGUGAAGAAGGUUUUCGGAUCGUAAAGCUCUGUUGUAAGAGAAGAACGAGUGUGAGAGUGGAAAGUUCACACUGUGACGGUAUCUUACCAGAAAGGGACGGCUAACUACGUGCCAGCAGCCGCGGUAAUACGUAGGUUCCGAGCGUUAUCCGGAUUUAUUGGGCGUAAAGCGAGCGCAGGCGGUUAGAUAAGUCUGAAGUUAAAGGCUGUGGCUUAACCAUAGUACGCUUUGGAAACUGUUUAACUUGAGUGCAAGAGGGGAGAGUGGAAUUCCAUGUGUAGCGGUGAAAUGCGUAGAUAUAUGGAGGAACACCGGUGGCGAAAGCGGCUCUCU